UUUCAUCUACCACACAAACUUAGCUGAAAGAUCAAUGGCAGCCAUGGCAACAGCUCUCACUUCACUGUCUUCAAGCCCCAAACCAACAUUCCUAGACCACAACAAGUCAUCCUUCAGCGGCACUCCAAUUCCUUCUCGCUUCACUCCCAUCAAGUCGUCCUCACACAACUCUGCCAUUUCCAUGUCCUUAACCCCUCCUUAUGAUUUACAAUCCUUUAAAUUCCAACCCAUCAAAGAAUCCUAUGUUUCUCGUGAAAUGACACGCCGUUACAUGAUGGACAUGAUUACCUAUGCUGACACUGAUGUUAUCAUCGUCGGCGCCGGUUCCGCUGGCCUCUCUUGUGCUUACGAGAUUAGCAAAAACCCCAACAUCCGUGUUGCCAUAAUCGAACAAUCUGUUAGCCCUGGUGGAGGUGCAUGGCUUGGUGGCCAACUAUUUUCAGCCAUGGUUGUUCGCAAACCAGCUCACAGGUUCCUCGACGAGCUCGGCAUCCAAUAUGACGAACAAGAAGACUACGUUGUCAUCAAGCAUGCAGCUUUGUUCACAUCAACAAUCAUGAGCAAGCUUUUAGCAAGGCCUAACGUGAAGUUGUUCAAUGCUGUGGCUGCUGAGGAUCUGAUAGUCAAAGGAAACAGGGUUGCCGGUGUGGUAACGAACUGGGCUUUGGUAUCAAUGAACCACGACACACAAUCCUGCAUGGACCCGAACGUGAUGGAGUCUAAGGUUGUGGUCAGUUCUUGUGGACAUGAUGGACCUUUUGGAGCCACUGGGGUCAAGAGAUUGAAGAGCAUUGGAAUGAUUGACAGCGUCCCUGGAAUGAAGGCACUGGAUAUGAACACGGCAGAGGAUGCAAUCGUUAGGCUCACAAGGGAAAUUGUGC
rnacentral:lncRNA from 1 species